CCUGGCUCAGGAUGAACGCUAGCUACAGGCUUAACACAUGCAAGUCGAGGGGCAGCAUCAUUAAAGCUUGCUUUGAUGGAUGCCGACCGGCGCACGGGUGAGUAACACGUAUCCAACCUGCCGACAACACUGGGAUAGCCUUUCGAAAGAAAGAUUAAUACCGGAUGGCAUAGUUUUCCCGCAUGGGAUAAUUAUUAAAGAAUUUCGGUUGUCGAUGGGGAUGCGUUCCAUUAGGCAGUUGGCGGGGUAACGGCCCACCAAACCAACGAUGGAUAGGGGUUCUGAGAGGAAGGUCCCCCACAUUGGAACUGAGACACGGUCCAAACUCCUACGGGAGGCAGCAGUGAGGAAUAUUGGUCAAUGGACGAGAGUCUGAACCAGCCAAGUAGCGUGAAGGAUGACUGCCCUAUGGGUUGUAAACUUCUUUUAUACGGGAAUAAAGUGAGCCACGUGUGGCUUUUUGUAUGUACCGUAUGAAUAAGGAUCGGCUAACUCCGUGCCAGCAGCCGCGGUAAUACGGAGGAUCCGAGCGUUAUCCGGAUUUAUUGGGUUUAAAGGGAGCGUAGGCGGGUUGUUAAGUCAGUUGUGAAAGUUUGCGGCUCAACCGUAAAAUUGCAGUUGAUACUGGCGACCUUGAGUGCAACAGAGGUAGGCGGAAUUCGUGGUGUAGCGGUGAAAUGCUUAGAUAUCACGAAGAACUCCGAUUGCGAAGGCAGCUUACUGGAUUGUAACUGACGCUGAUGCUCGAAAGUGUGGGUAUCAAACAGGAUUAGAUACCCUGGUAGUCCACACAGUAAACGAUGAAUACUCGCUGUUGGCGAUAUACGGUCAGCGUCCAAGCGAAAGCAUUAAGUAUUCCACCUGGGGAGUACGCCGGCAACGGUGAAACUCAAAGGAAUUGACGGGGGCCCGCACAAGCGGAGGAACAUGUGGUUUAAUUCGAUGAUACGCGAGGAACCUUACCCGGGCUUAAAUUGCAACUGAUUGAACCGGAAACGGUUCUUUCUUCGGACAUUUGUGAAGGUGCUGCAUGGUUGUCGUA
rnacentral:rRNA from 1 species